rnacentral:rRNA from 1 species
UACGGGGGGGGCAAGCGUUGUUCGGAAUUAUUGGGCGUAAAGGGCGCGUAGGCGGUCUUGUAAGUCAGCUGUGAAAGCCCGGGGCUCAACCCCGGAGGGUCGGCUGAUACUGCAGGACUGGAGUACGGAAGAGGUAGCUGGAAUUCCCGGUGUAGCGGUGAAAUUCGUAGAUAUCGGGAGGAACACCUGUGGCGAAGGCGGCCAUCUGGACAACUACUGACACUGAGACGCGAAAGCGUGGGUAGCAAACAGG